CAACAUGGGGUGCUAUUUAUUUAUUAAAUAGCUGAGAGUAAACCCUUUGAACCUGAUAUGGAUAAUGCCAACGUAGGGAGACGCU
rnacentral:ncRNA from 1 species